CUUAGCAGCUUACAGUCAGUAAUUAAUGUCCCCUGAGGCAAAUUUUAUGAACAUGAUACCCAUAUAAUUGAGAAGUACUGGUCUUACUGUAACUUGCAUUUCUAGGUCAUUCGUUCUUAGUAUUGAAUCAGUAACUUGUAUUAGCAGCCAUUAGAUUAAUCGUAAGGUUAUCACUACAUCUCUUUAUAGACAAGGAGUAUCCGGACACUUUCUGGUUGUCAAAUGUUAGCAGGAAAUGGUUCGUAGUUAAUGUAAUGAACUACACCUUUUAAACUUGAGGAGAACUGACUACAUACAUUAAAUGAAAAUCACUAAGACACCAGAUGAAAUAAAAAGUGAAUACCUAUAUGAAAAUACAAAUAAAUAAAUAAAUAAAUAUAUUACAUUCGUUGUUAUAAAAAAAUAUUAAGCGCAUUAAACAUCAGGGUUUCCAAAACUAGGGUUCAUGACUUGAUGAAAAGCUAAUUAAAUCAUAAAAAUUUAAUUACAAUUAAUUAAAUAAAAACAAUAUAAACAAAACAUUUGAACACUAAAAAAAAGUCAAAUAUUUAAUUUCUUUACUUGCGAGGUGAUGUGAGCAUAAACCAACAUCAGAGAGUCGUGAACAUUUGAAUGUCUUCAUAUAAAUAUUAUCAAAGGGGUUCAGGUGACAAAAAAGUUAGGGAAUCCUGUGUCUGCAGGUCUGGACUUUUUCUUUUUUUUUCUCUCUCUCUCUAGACUUUAAGAAUCAAUCAUCAGUGAAGGUCAGUGAAGACAUAGUAUCUCACAGCUAUACAUUGCAGUGUUUAGUAACUUGCUUAAUUAUUUUUCUUUUUUUACAUGGUCUAAUUGAGUGCUGCUUUUGUUCCAAAUUUCAGAAGCUUGGAUCACAAAUUAUAUCUAACAUUUUGAGAGUUCCGAUUUCCCCAAUGAUGAGGAUGAAUGUCUAAGCCUAUAUGUGUUAAAUAUGCUUUCAUUAUGGGAGAGUUUCUAGAAUUAUGAAAGUUAUAGAAGUAAUUUCUGAAUACAAACUUAGGUUUUUUAUUUUUAUUUUUUUAU
rnacentral:lncRNA from 1 species